UGCGCUCCAGCAGUAGCUCCUCCUUUCGCUCCUGCUGCACCACAUCAUGCCACUACUGGCAGGCACGUAAGGGUUCAGCUCCAGAUCCUGGAACUGGAAGCAGGGGGCGCAGAGCAGCACCUGGACAGGCUGUGGGCACCAGUGGGAGCAUGGUACAGGCUGCUUCGCCAUGACCAGGACUAACUGGCGGUGCUGCAAGUGAGGAGUCAACAAGCAGCUGAGCUGCGCUGCCACCAUUUGGAAGCAGCUCUGAUCCAGCACAGAUAAGCACUUGGCAACAGGCAGAACCUGGAAAGGGAAAAUUGACUUCCUAAGAGGUGUUUUGAUUUUAACCACAACUCCUUAGAAGGACCAGAAAGAGGCAAAAUUACGUUUAUACCUUUAUGUUAUACACAGAAACCUACAAAGGAUUUUUUUUCACCCAAAACAAAUUAAAUAAAAGUAUGUG